GUAGGUGGCAAGCGUUGUCCGGAUUUAUUGGGCGUAAAGCGAGCGCAGGCGGAAAAAUAAGUCUGAUGUGAAAGCCCUCGGCUUAACCGAGGAACUGCAUCGGAAACUGUUUUUCUUGAGUGCAGAAGAGGAGAGUGGAACUCCAUGUGUAGCGGUGGAAUGCGUAGAUAUAUGGAAGAACACCAGUGGCGAAGGCGGCUCUCUGGUCUGCAACUGACGCUGAGGCUCGAAAGCAUGGGUAGCGAACAGGAUUAGAUACCCUGGUAGUCCAUGCCGUAAACGAUGAGUGCUAAGUGUUGGGAGGUUUCCGCCUCUCAGUGCUGCAGCUAACGCAUUAAGCACUCCGCCUGGGGAGUACGACCGCAAGGUUG
rnacentral:rRNA from 1 species